rnacentral:lncRNA from 1 species
AGUAGAGACCGGGGAAGGUAUGGGCCCUCUUUUGAGAAAAAUGCAGAGUGACACUGAAUUUUGUAACUACAUCAGGAGGCUCUUGAACCUUCUGCAGCUCACUCGUGGAGUUUGUAGAGAUGCGUAAUAAUCCGAAGUGUUAAGGAAGAAGGUUCUGUUGAGAAAAAGUUGGAGGGCUGAAAGGGAUGCCUUUCGCUAUUUCGACAUGUGUGGCUGUACCCCAGAGUGCCCUGGCUAACACGCAAAACCAUGAAUUAGGCGGCUUGGCGAGGCUCAGUGGAGGCUGGGGCCGAGAGUCAUGUCAAAGUUUGUGGGGUUAACCUGCACCCAGUGACAGUCAUGGCGAAGUUUGUGAGGUUAACUCGCACCCAGUAACGCUGUUCCAAUGCAAGGUGUGUAUUUGGUGUCAUCCACGGGAAGAGGAAACAGCAAAUUUUCUCAUGGCCUUGGCAGUUCCACAUGAUGGACAUUUCAUAUCUGCAGUUUUCUUCGCAUGAGAUGGCUUUUUUGCACAAAAACACUGGAAUCCAGUGAGCAAGAAUGAUAGAAUGCAAGAUGGAUUUCCACAUGAGGAAGUGUCACGAACAAGCGUUUUGCAUCUCUGUCAGCUGGAUUCCCCCAUGUGAAAAGAACUACAGCCUGUGUGGGUCCCCUCCCGACAAUUAAAAUUGCACCAUAACUCCAAAGAUGAAACGCUCCCAGAAAGAAAAGGCAAAGACCCAUCGGAAACAAAAGAGCAACUUUCACCGCCUGAUACAUACACUUCAUGACAUCCACAUUGAGACAAAAUCUCGCCGUGUGACCUACAACACCUCUCGUUCAACCCCACCUACUUGGGGUCGAAUACAGAUUUUAUCUCAUCAAACAGAAAAAUUCUUAACAGAAAAAGGAAUCCCAAAAAUGACUGGUAAUAUAAUUCUGGCUGCCUUUAUGGUAGUCAGUGCAGCGUCUGCAGAUGCCUCUAAGGAGUCCGAAACCAAGUCCGAAGUCAACAACAAGCAAUGAUGGCGAUGGCGAUUCUAGUUAAUAAAAAGGGGGGAGAUGUGGGCGGCAAGCCACCCAGGCACCGAGGCAAGAGACAGAGGACACGAGCUGUUCCAGUAUAAUAAAAUAUAAAACAAGAAUAGUUAUACCAGAUAUAGAUCUUAGAUAUGAUUAUAUACGAAUAUCAUUAAUCAUGAGUUUGUAGCAAUUACUUUUUAUUCCAAUAUUAUGAUAAUCCUCGCUCUAUAAUCAUAGCCUAGGAAAAACCAGGCCAUACAGAGAUAGGAGCUGAGGGGACAUAGUGAAGUGUGACCAGAAGACAAGAGUGCGAGCCUUCUGUUAUGCCCGGACAGGGCCACCAGAGGGCUCCUUGGUCUAGCGGUGACGCCAGCGUCUGGGAAGACACCCGUUACCAGGCGGAUCGUGGCCCAGCCGUAGCAAAAGGUGUCAAGGAACACCUUUUGCAAAAGGUGUCAACACCCGCUACUUAGCAGACUGGGAAAGGGGGGCGGUCUCCCUUUCCCCGGGGGAGUUUAGAGAAGACUCUGUUCCUCCACCUCUUGUGGAGGGCCUGACAUCAGUCAGGCUUGCCCGUAGUUAUCCGGAGGCCUAACUGUCUCCCUGUGAUGCUGUGCUUCAGUGGUCACGCUCCUAGUCUGCCUUCAUUUUCCAUCCUGUACACCUGGCUCUGCCUUCUAGAUAGCAGUAGUAAAUUAGUGAAAAUACUAAUAGUCCCUGAUAUGCAGAAAUAAUGGCAUAAGCUGUCUUUCUCUCUGUCUCCUCUCCCUCUCUGCCUCGGCUGCCAGGCAGGGAAGGGCCCCCUGUCCAGUGGACACAUGACCCAUGUGACCUUACCUAUCAUUGGAGGUGACUCACAUUCUUUACCCUGCCCCUUCUGCCUUGUAUCCAAUAACAGCGCAGUCAGACAUUCAGGGCCACUACCGGUCUCCGCACAUUGGUGGUAGUGGUCCCCCGGGCCCAGCUGCCUUUUCU